GCACGUCACACCUUCCCCUAUGGGAAAACAGUGCACUUCAAGCAGAGAAACAACAAGUGAAGGUUCUAGGACUUACCUUGCUGCAGAGCUGGGCAUCACAGCACUCCUCCCAGGGCAGGGCUGUGCCAGGAGGGUAGAGGCAGGCUGAGCUGCCCACCAGCUUAUGUAGAUGGUGUGAAAACGCACUCAGUCACAGCUGUGGAGCUCAGUGCAGCUACGAGGAGUGGUGGGCUGAGAGCACAGUGCUGAUGAAAGGACAGUGCAAAGAAGGGCAGCGCAUCCCUUUCAGGGCAGCUGUCUGCAAUUUAUAUCCAGGAGACACCUCGAAACCUUCCUGUGGGUGCUCAGAUCCCACGAGGGCAGGGGCUGCCUGCAGGACAACGCCAGCAUCCAGAGAACAAACAGGUUUGGCUGCCCAAGGAGAAGCAUGGCUCAGUACAAAAAAGUCCACAUCGGACUGAGCAGAAUAACCUGCAAAGGUAAGCAGCCAUUGGGGUGGUUAAUGCACAUUGCUCUGUUAAGACUUCCCUAUCAAAAUCUUGGUUAAAAAAAGACCCUUCAGCUUCCAUGGAGGAAUUCAGGUAUCAAAGGCAGUGAGACAGACAAGCACGCAUCCCAGCAGAACCCAAGGGUGACUUAACAGAGAGCUCGGAGAAGCAAAACUCAGCGUUACUGAGCACACAACAAACAUCCAAGCUAACCAGACUGGGAACCCGAACACGGUAACAAAAGCAAACAAGCCGGGUUUAAAUAGAAGCAAAAAAAAAAAAGAAAAAAAAGAAAAAAAAAAGAAGAACUUGGAAAGGAAAACCAGCGAGAGCCAAUGUUUACCCUGAUGGAGGAUAGUUUAGAAAUUAUGGCCGAAUGCCAGCCCUCCAAUAUUUUUAGUUUGGAAAGGUCUGCUAAUCUCAGGCUGCAGCGCUGUGGGUCCACAUCCUCACCCCCUUCUGCUGUUGGCUCAGUGGGGCACCAGGAACCAUCACUGCAUUAGGGCUGCACUGCGCCCACCUGCCUGACCAUCGGGGUGAAGGCUUCCACCACCUGAUCGUGGGGGCAGAAAACCAGCCAACAGCACAGCAAUUUGCAAUUAAUCGGCUAAUUGCAAUUAAAGCAGAAAUCAACAACCAGGCGAGUUAACCACCACGGUUAUGGGACAGCAGGAAGGUGGAAGAGGAGAAAGCAGUGGUGGAGCGCAGCAUCACAGCUGGUGGCACAAAGCUCAAGUAUUUGUUUGCUUUAAUGCAGGCAAACAUUUCUGAGGCUGAAUGGAGACGGCGGGCGCGCGCUCCCUUCCCUGUGCACAUUUCCAGUUCAAGUAAUAGGAAUGUCAAAAAUAAGCUCUCAGCACAUGACAGAGAGAAUGUCAGAAACUUUAAAGCUUUCCGUGGCAUAAAUCCUCAAGCAGGGCAUGAAAGUAGCAGGCAGGAAAUCUUCCACAGCUGAACUCGCUUAUCCCCUGGGCUGAGAAUCUCUCCCUCGCAUGGAGAACUCUGUGAUGAGCGGUGCUGAACGUUUCUGUCCGACUUUAAUGCAUUACCCAGAGCUGAAAUCUGCUCCUCCUGGAUUACACGGGGGAUCACCGGGGAUGGCGCAGGGAAAGAUUCUAACAGUGCAGUUAACAGCAGAAAAAGGAGAACCAUUGGGUCAUUUCGGAUCUCCGAAACACAGGCAGGAAAUAAGAUCCGUUUCCACUGAGAUAGCAGAACUCUCAAUUGCACUGCUGGGCCUUGGGAAGCUGUCACAGCCCUGGGUGGCUUUCAGUAAUGCACUUCCCAAGUGACUGCUGGGUUCAGCUGGGACAGCAGCAGGCUUGUGCUUUGCAGACUAUGAGAGCCUCCUCAAGCAGGUUGGCAUUAACCAGUUUCAGCUUCGUGCAACACAGAGCUACGACUUUUGGCUUUCCGCUUCAAAGUGCAUGUUUCAAAUUAGACGACAAGGCAUUACACAAUCAAAGGCAUCUGCAGACCCCUUGCCUAGGCACAGAGCGUGAUCAGGGCUGAGAAAAGGCAGAGUCUGGCUACAGAACCACGCUGCUGGGCCGCACAUGAAAGCGGAGCUCCCUGACGCAAGCAAGAUGCCAUCGGCAGUCUCCGAGUUCCCAAGGCAAGGAGCAAAGCUGGGGCUCAGAGGACUUGUUUUGGUUUUUCUUUGUCUUGUAAGAAUUCGGGAAUUUUCUGUAUGCCCGUGAAGACACUGGGAAUCUUUUUGUCGCUGCGGUACUGUGAAGUUGUCUGAUUUUAUGAGAAUCUAGCUAUAUUUGGAAAAAGACCCAGCAACAGAUGAGUGCACAUUCUUGCUUGCUCUGCAAAGACAAUUACUGGAUUACAAAAAAAGGCACAAGAAGCACACAUUCCUCCUCCUUCUAUCCCUAAAAGGUUUCCUCCUUCCUCCUCGCUCAGAGCACUACUACUGCUGUCACUGAACAAACUCCAAGUACACAUUUUCAUCCUUGAUCCAGCUGGCUUGGAAGCCUCUAGGAUUUAAGAUCUCUCUUCUGUUUGAAUAAUUUCAGUGACUAGAAUCUCAUUGCUUGCUUCACCAAUUCUCUUCAUCCUCUGUCUAUAUAUAGUAAAGGAGAUGAAAUAAUAUUACAUUUAGUUUUAUUGCUGGAAGCAAUCUGCUGUCCCCCAGUGCAGUUUCCCAAAGGAAGGAGGUGAAACAGAAGAUUCAGCAGGACGUGCUGACUGCAAAUAAGAACAAGGUAGAACUGCACACAUUCCAGCUGGCUGGCUGUUACAGAGGAGGAAAACAGAGUACAGAAGGGCUGGGGUUAUUCAGCCAGGAACAGAACAGCCCAGCUAACAAUCCUCUGCUCCAGCUGUCACAAAACAGUUCUGCUUUGCCUGGAAGGUGAGCUGUGUCAGAGCCCAGGAGCGCCAUUCAAGGCUUCACAGAGAUCUGGGAUGCAUGGAGUGGGACAAGGGAAUGGGACUCUUUGCUGAACAUCCUGGUUAUUUAUGACCAUAAAUUCAUUUUAAUAAAU